CGCGUAGGCGGCUUUACAAGUCAGAUGUGAAAGCCCCGGGCUUAACCCGGGAAUUGCAUCUGAAACUGUUUAGCUUGAGUCCUGGAGGGGGUAGUGGAAUUCCCAGUGUAGCGGUGAAAUGCGUAGAUAUUGGGAGGAACACCUGCGGCGAAGGCGGCUACCUGGACAGUGACUGACGCUGAGGCGCGAAAGCUAGGGGAGCGAACGG
rnacentral:rRNA from 1 species